UACGUAGGGUGCGAGCGUUAAUCGGAAUUACUGGGCGUAAAGGGCGCGUAGGCGGCGCGGUAAGUCACUUUGUGAAAUCUCUGAGCUUAACUCAGAACGGCCAAGUGAUACUGCAGUGCUAGAGUGUGGAAGGGGCAAUCGGAAUUCUUGGUGUAGCGGUGAAAUGCGUAGAUAUCAAGAGGAACACCUGAGGUGAAGACGGGUGCUGGGCCAACACUGACGCUGAGGCGCGAAAGCUAGGGGAGCGAACGGG
rnacentral:rRNA from 1 species